UACGAACCGUCCAAAAGUUAUUCGGAUUUCUUGGACAUACAGGGUAUGUAGGCGGCUCUUCAAGUCGGGUGUGAAAGCCCUCGGCUCAACCGAGGAACUGCGCCCGAUACUGUAGGGCUCGAGGGAGACAGAGGUAAGCGGAACUGACGGUGGAGCGGUGAAAUGCGUUGAUAUCAUCAGGAACACCAGUGGCGAAAGCGGCUUACUGGGUCUCUUCUGACGCUGAGAUGAGAAAGCUAGGGGAGCGAACGGG
rnacentral:rRNA from 1 species